rnacentral:rRNA from 1 species
AGCAGCCGCGGUAAUUCCAGCUCCAAUAGCGUAUAUUAAAGUUGUUGCAGUUAAAAAGCUCGUAGUUGAAUUUCGGGGUCAGUAGGUUGGUCAUGCCACUGGUAUGUACUGGUCUCACUGAUUCCUCCUUCCUGAUGAACUGUAAUGCCAUUAAUUUGGUGUUGCAGGGAAUCUGGACUGUUACUUUGAAAAAAUUAGAGUGUUUAAAGCAGGCUAACGCCUGAAUACAUUAGCAUGGAAUAAUGAAAUAGGACGUUCGAUCCUAUUUUGUUGGUUUCUAGGAUUGACGUAAUGAUUAAUAGGGAUAGUUGGGGGCAUUAGUAUUCAAUUGUCAGAGGUGAAAUUCUUGGAUUUAUCGAAGACUAACUACUGCGAAAGCAUUUGCCAAGGAUGUUUUCAUUAAUCAAGAACGAAAGUUAGGGGAUCGAAGACGAUCAGAUACCGUCGUAG